rnacentral:rRNA from 1 species
UACGAAGGGGGCGAGCGUUGUUCGGAUUUACUGGGCGUAAAGGGCGCGCAGGCGGUCUUGAAAGUCAGGCGUGAAAGCCCCGGGCUUAACCUGGGGAUUGCGCUUGAUACUCUGAGACUGGAGUACGGGAGAGGAGAGUGGAAUUCCCAGUGUAGAGGUGAAAUUCGUAGAUAUUGGGAAGAACACCAGUGGCGAAGGCGGCUCUCUGGACCGUAACUGACGCUGAGGCGCGAAAGCGUGGGGAGCAAACAGG